CCUAUCAGCUUGUUGGUGAGGUAAUGGCUCACCAAGGCGACGACGGGUAGCCGGCCUGAGAGGGUGACCGGCCACACUGGGACUGAGACACGGCCCAGACUCCUACGGGAGGCAGCAGUGGGGAAUAUUGCACAAUGGGCGAAAGCCUGAUGCAGCAACGCCGCGUGAGGGAUGACGGCCUUCGGGUUGUAAACCUCUUUUAGUAGGGAAGAAGCGAAAGUGACGGUACCUGCUGAANAAGCACCGGCUAACUACGUGCCAGCAGCCGCGGUAUUACGUAGGGUGCAAGCGUUGUCCGGAAUUAUUGGGCNUNAAGAGCUCGUUAGGCGGUUUUGUCNCGUCUGCUGUGAAAUCCCGAGGCUCAACCUCNUNCUUGCNUUUGNGUACCGNCANACU
rnacentral:rRNA from 1 species